UACGGGGGGGGCAAGCGUUGUUCGGAAUUACUGGGCGUAAAGGGCUCGUAGGCGGCCAACUAAGUCAGACGUGAAAUCCCUCGGCUUAACCGGGGAACUGCGUCUGAUACUGGAUGGCUUGAGUCCGGGAGAGGGAUGCGGAAUUCUAGGUGUAGCGGUGAAAUGCGUAGAUAUCUGGAGGAACACCGGUGGCGAAGGCGGCAUCCUGGACCGGCACUGACGCUGAUGAGCGAAAGCCAGGGGAGCAAACGGG
rnacentral:rRNA from 1 species